rnacentral:lncRNA from 1 species
AACACUUGGUCUGGAAAACAAAAUAUACGUUAAUGAGCUUGUAGAUCACAAUUUUGAGAAUCUGGAUUGACAUAAAGAACAACUGACCCAAGAAACAUAAAUAAAGAACCAUGCUGCAAAGGGCAAAUCGGAAAGGCAAAAUAAAAGAAUUACUCAUUCAUAAAAUGCAAGUCACAAGCUUAAAUACAGUGUAACCUGAUAAUUAACAAUGCUGAGAAGUGCAAGUUACACAACAGAGGAAGAAAAAAAAAAGAUGGUGGAUGGGACAUGGUGGUACUCAAAACAGAGAAACUUAAGCCCUGCUCUUGAAAGGAAUGGCUCGGAUAACUAUCUGGUGGUACACAGCAGCAAGAGCGGCACCAAUGAAAGGACCAACCCAGAAGAUCCACUGAAAUUGAGAGAAAAAAAAACACUUACAUAAACUUUUACUGAAUUUAAAAUUUCUGAUUCUUAUAACAAAUAGAUAAAUAAAAACUACUCACGUGAUCAUCCCAGGCGUGAUCUUUGUUGAAGAUGAUGGCAGCUCCAAGACUUCUGGCUGGGUUGAUGCCAGUCCCUGUGAUGGGGAUGGUGGCCAAAUGAACUAAGAACACGGCAAAACCAAUGGGAAGAGGAGCCAAAAUCUGCAAUACAAUUCAAGAAAUAUUCUAUAAGACUUACAUAAGCAAGUACAAGUGCUGUUCAACAUUAGAUGAAGUCUAAAACUAAAGAUGGUUUACAUGGGAAAGGGACUCUACAACAUUUUUAUCUCAAUGAUUUAUUUAUUUAGGGGCCCAACGCUUCUUUUCUCAUCAUACUUUUAUAGAUAAAAAGCAUUUUUCAUGAAUUAAUGCUGGGUCCCACAAUUAAAAAAGCUACAACAGCUAGCAAGCACUAACAACAAUAAAAAUGCAAGCCUCACUGUAAUUUCCAUUGGAUUGAAAAGGUAAAUCAACACACUUUAACCCCUUGGAAAAGGCAUAUAGAUUUUACUUUGAAGAGAUCUAUCUAUAUUCUAUUCUAUCCUACCAGAAGAAAACUCCCCUUUCCUCCUCAACUAUACAAUAAUGCUUUUCUGGGUUCAAAAUCACCAUUUAAUUUACACAACUUAAAAGAAAAAGUGACACUAUGCAAGUUUCUAGCUUUUUGUUCAACAUCAUCCAAAGCAUAACCCAAACUAAUAUUGACAUAUUAAUAACCACACAUAAUUUAUUACAUAAUUUGCAUACAAAAUUAGUUGAUUCAUUGUGUUCAAGUAUAUUAACAUUCUGUGUAAAAUUUCUACUUGUAUACUGUUUCUUGUGAUAAAUAAUUCAUGUGAAGUGGAACCCAAAUUUGGAUAGAAUAUCAAAUUGUAAAUAAGUUCGAAAAGAGUACAUACAGGGACAUGUGAGUCUCUGGCGCUUCUCUUGGCAUCAGUGGCAGAGAACACAGUGUAGACAAGAACAAAGGUGCCAAUAAUCUCAGCACCAAGACCAUCACCCUUUGUGUAGCCAUGGUUCACAACAUUAGCCCCACCACCAUAAAACUCAAAUUUGGAUGAUCCCUCAAACCCCUUAAUAACACCAGCACCACAAAUGGCACCAAGGCACUGCAUCACCAUGUAGAACAAAGCCCUGGUCAGGGAAAGCUUCCUUGCCAGAAGCAAACCAAAGGUCACAGCUGGGUUAAUAUGUCCUCCUGUUUCCCAUCAAGUAACACAAUAAAUCAAUACUAGGCCUCAAGCAAUUUCAAAAGACUAAACAGAUAUACAACCAAAGUUAAAACCCAUAUUUCUUGUUGAAAAAAGGAAUAAGAGUUAUAUAAAUUGUUCUCAACUUCAGAUCACAUCUUUUAAAAACUCAAAUAUAGCUCAAAUAACUCAAGUUAAAUGGACACAAAUUAAUAGUACAAAAGCUAAAACACCCAUAUAAAUAUUAUCCCAAGAAAACAUGAAACUAUGAUAAAAAGGUUAAGAGUACAAGAUCUAAAAGAAACCCACAAAGAGUAAGAAAUUAGAGACUACUUAGGAUGAAAUGAGGAGAAACUAAGAAAUAUAUACUCGCAAGAAGAAAAACAGUAGAUUUGUGAAGUGAUGACAAAAAAUUUAGAGUAAAGACAGGGAAAAGAGAGGAAUCAUGUGUUGCUAACCUGAAAUACCAGCAGUGCAGUAGACAAGGGCAAAGAUCAUACCACCAAAGGCCCAAGCAAUUCCUUGAAUACCCACAGAGGCACACUUGUUAGGUGCCCUGGACACACCCAUAACAGUCAAGACAGUGAUGUAUAAGAACAAGAAGGUAG